rnacentral:rRNA from 1 species
GAUGAACGCUGGCGGCGUGCCUAAUACAUGCAAGUAGAACGCUGAAGCUUGGUGCUUGCACCGAGCGGAUGAGUUGCGAACGGGUGAGUAACGCGUAGGUAACCUGCCUCUUAGCGGGGGAUAACUAUUGGAAACGAUAGCUAAUACCGCAUAAAAGUCGAUAUCGCAUGAUAUUGAUUUGAAAGGUGCAAUUGCAUCACUAAGAGAUGGACCUGCGUUGUAUUAGCUAGUUGGUGAGGUAACGGCUCACCAAGGCGACGAUACAUAGCCGACCUGAGAGGGUGAUCGGCCACACUGGGACUGAGACACGGCCCAGACUCCUACGGGAGGCAGCAGUAGGGAAUCUUCGGCAAUGGGGGCAACCCUGACCGAGCAACGCCGCGUGAGUGAAGAAGGUUUUCGGAUCGUAAAGCCCUGUUGUAAGAGAAGAACGAGUGUGAGAGUGGAAAGUUCACACUGUGACGGUAACUUACCAGAAAGGGACGGCUAACUACGUGCCGGCAGCCGCGGUAAUACGUAGGUCCCGAGCGUUAUCCGGAUUUAUUGGGCGUAAAGCGAGCGCAGGCGGUUAGAUAAGUCUGAAGUUAAAGGCUGUGGCUUAACCAUAGUACGCUUUGGAAACUGUUUAACUUGAGUGCAGAAGGGGAGAGUGGAAUUCCAUGUGUAGCGGUGAAAUGCGUAGAUAUAUGGAGGAACACCGGUGGCGAAAGCGGCUCUCUGGUCUGUAACUGACGCUGAGGCUCGAAAGCGUGGGGAGCAAACAGG